GGACCCGCACAAGUAGUGGAGCAUGUGGUUUAAUUCGAAGAUACGCGCAGAACCUUACCAACACUUGACAUGUUCGUCGCGACUUUAAGAGAUUAAAGUUUUCGGUUCGGCCGGACGAAACACAGGUGCUGCAUGGCUGUCGUCAGCUCGUGUCGUGAGAUGUUGGGUUAAGUCCCGCAACGAGCGCAACCCUCACUUUUAGUUGCCAUCAUUUAGUUGGGCACUCUGAAAGAACUGCCAGUGAUAAGCUGGAGGAAGGUGGGGAUGACGUCAAGUCCUCAUGGCCCUUACGUGUUGGGCUACACACGUGCUACAAUGGUAUAUACAACAGGAAGCAAGACGGCGACGUUAAGCAAAUCCUCAAAAGAUACCUCAGUUCGGAUUGCACUCUGCAACUCGAGUGCAUGAAGCUGGAAUUACUAGUAAUCGC
rnacentral:rRNA from 1 species